rnacentral:rRNA from 1 species
AUUGAACGCUGGCGGCAGGCCUAACACAUGCAAGUCGAGCGGAUGAAGAGAGCUUGCUCUCUGAUUUAGCGGCGGACGGGUGAGUAAUGCCUAGGAAUCUGCCUGGUAGUGGGGGAUAACGUUCCGAAAGGAACGCUAAUACCGCGUACGUCCUACGGGAGAAAGCAGGGGACCUUCGGGCCUUGCGCUAUCAGAUGAGCCUAGGUCGGAUUAGCUAGUUGGUGAGGUAAUGGCUCACCAAGGCGACGACCCGUAACUGGUCUGAGAGGAUGAUCAGUCACACUGGAACUGAGACACGGUCCAGACUCCUACGGGAGGCAGCAGUGGGGAAUAUUGGACAAUGGGCGAAAGCCUGAUCCAGCCAUGCCGCGUGUGUGAAGAAGGUCUUCGGAUUGUAAAGCACUUUAAGUUGGGAGGAAGGGCAGUAAGUUAAUACCUUGCUGUUUUGACGUUACCGACAGAAUAAGCACCGGCUAACUUCGUGCCAGCCGCCGCGGUAAGAC